rnacentral:ribozyme from 1 species
CGAACUACACCUCUUAGUCUCGGAUCUUUCAUUGGGGCCCUCCUUAUGUUUGCCAACCUCACCCUCAUAUGCUCUGUCCUCUUUGGAGAAUUUGAAAUCCGC